UGACAUACCUUGCCUCGGCGGUGCCUGUUCCGACAGCCCGCCAGAGGACCCCAAACCCUGAUUACAUUUAAGAAGUCUUCUGAGUAAACCGAUUAAAUAAAUCAAAACUUUCAACAACGGAUCUCUUGGUUCUGGCAUCGAUGAAGAACGCAGCGAAAUGCGAUAAGUAAUGUGAAUUGCAGAAUUCAGUGAAUCAUCGAAUCUUUGAACGCACAUUGCGCCCGCUAGUAUUCUGGCGGGCAUGCCUGUCCGAGCGUCAUUUCAACCCUCAAGCCCCCGGGCUUGGUGUUGGGGAUCGGCGAGCCUCCGCGCCCGCCGUCCCCUAAAUCUAGUGGCGGUCUCGCUGUAGCUUCCUCUGCGUAGUAGCACACCUCGCACUGGGAAACAGCGCGGCCACGCCGUUAAACCCCCAACUUCUGAACGUUUGACCUCGGAUCAGGUAGGAAUACCCGCUGAACUUAAGCAUAUCAAU
rnacentral:rRNA from 1 species